UCGGUCAAACAAUGACGGAGCAUCUUCUUCCUUUCUUCUAUCCUUGUUUGAACAAUUGGCAGGCUGCGUUUGAAAUCUACUGAUUUCAAACUUCAUUUUUAGGCUUUGCGUUACAAUAAAUGACUUUGCAUUGUAGGUCAAUGAACUCGUCUUAUCAUCAACAUUCAUAAUAUGCAAAAAAAUCUCAUUGUUCCAUUUUAAAAAAUGGUAAUGACCUUGACACAGCUUCAGCACAUGCGACAAAAUAAAAAAUAGUAGCUACAUUUGGUUGUUCCCUUCGAAUAAUCUAACAUUUACCUGAGAAAUCUUUUUGUAUCAACAAUAGUUUGACCAUUAUCGCUCUCUAAUAGUUUAACUGUUCCACCGUGUAUGUACGCGGACUUUCCUCAGACUUCUUUGAACUCAAUUUUUCCUCAAGGUGCAAUAUCGAUUGCAAAAUGCUGUUAUAAAAACCUCGUGACGUACCAGACGUGUCAAAAAUUAUUUUCCUUAUCGCGAAGUUUAAUCUAUGCCAUGACGCACGAUAUAGUACGUACGUAUAGACAAGGAAAAUGGUUUUGUGAUUCAAUGAAAUAAUUCAUUUUACUGAGAACAUCAUCAAAAUACCCAGAUAGCACAGAGACGUCCCUGGGACGUCCGGCGUGGACAUUCUAUGUACGUCCUUGGGACGUCCGAUGUGGACAUUCCCAGAAGGUUCUCUGCAUGUCCCUGGGACGUUCGGUGUGGACAUUCCCAAAACAUUUUCCGAACGAUCGAAAUGAACGUUAAAAUGAAAUUUAUGUUUAGAAGAUGUGUGUAUUGAAUAUUUGGACAAUGUUGAAUAAAUUUUGAAAAUUGAGAUUUAAAAAAAAAUUAAAUUUUAAUUUUAUAUAUUUUCUUUUAUUUGUUGGUAGACUUUAGUCAACUGUAUUUAUUAACAAAUCUUUCCAAUUUUUUUAUUUACCUCCGGGGGGAUUCGAACUCACGAUUUUCGAACUACCAAACGCAACCUGCUCCUCACUUACCCAUAAACGCCUUUGCUAACCCGACUCAUAUUUUGGGCUUAUAUAGUGACUCGCAUUAAUAUUCGGACACUUUUUAAAACACAAUUCCUUCUUUUGAAAUUGGUCUAAAUGACUUGAACUUUUUUUUGAAGAGUUAGAAGAAUUACUUUACUAGGUAAUUCUGAAUAGUUCCAAAUAUUACAUACAUAUCACAUCUCAUAUGUACAAAAAAUAUUGUAUUCCUAAUAUUGAAUAAACAUUUUGUUUUACAUGUGCAAACAUAUAUUCUGUUGCGAAUAUUAGAUAAAUAUGUGUUUUAUCUACGGAAAAACGUAUUCUGUUGCGAAUAUUAAAUAAUGACUGUAUACCCAGAUAGCACAGGAACAGGAACGUCUUAUGUACGUCCAUGGAACGUCCGGUGCUGGACAUUCCCAGAACGUUUUCUGUACGUUCUCUGUACGUCCAUGGGACGUCCGGUGCUAUCUGGGUAUGUCGCACUUACUCUGAUGCAAGUAGCUUUGCAUCUAUACAAUAAAGAAAGAAACCAAAACUUGGAGAGUCUAUUCAACUGGAAUGAAAAAAUAAUAAAGAACCAUACAAACACUAAGAAAAUAAAAAUAGACAAAGAAUCAGGCAGAGAUAUAGAGAAUAAAGCAAUUCCUACGUCAAGAACAAACCAGCACUUCUUAGAAAAACACAAUCUCAAAAAAGAAGAAACAGUAAUACUGGUAAAAAUAAAAACAUUUGAAAUACAUAAAAAUGCGGCCUAUAGAAAAAAAGGGUAAUUUUUAGGUACAAAUUGUGCCGUAAUCAUGCAAUAAAAACUGUGUAAUUAUAUAUACAGACGGCUCGAAGCAACAAAACAGAAAAGCAAAUGGAGUGGGCCUAAUUAUAAUACAUCCAAACAGGGAGGAAGAGGAAAUAGGAUACAGUAUAAACAAUAAAGGCACUAUAUACACAACAUGAGCAAUAGGUUUAGAAACAAUAAUAGAAAAAUCAGAAAUCUCAGAUAAAAAGAAGGACAAUGGAUGGAUAUUUAAUAUCUACAAAACUCUGAUUGACAUGGAAAAGCUAGAAACUGCAGUAUUAGGAUGGAUCCCAGGGCAUCAAGGAAUACCAGGAAACGAGAAGGCAGACAAGAAGCGACUUCUUAGUAGACCAGAAAAAUAAAAUCUGGGAAGAAUUCAGCACCAGAGUAGAAGAAAUCGGAAGAGAAAAAGGAGUUUGCUAUUUCACACACUUCUAGGAACGGAAGAAAAAAUACAAAUUCAAACCAUGGUUCUUCAAAAUAGGAAAGGGACUAAACAGGGAAACGAUCAGGACAAUGUCCAGGAUUAGAUCUAAUCAUAUGAACUUAAAAGAAUCGCUAGACAGAAAGCGCAUUAUAGAAAGCAAAAUCUGUGAUUGCAACAUGGAUGAGAAAACCAUAGGGGACAAAUACAAUAACUUCCCUAUAAAUCGAGAAGUUAAAAAACACGUACUGCUUUAAGAAAGAAAUUUAUAUUUUGCUAUUACAUGUUUACUACAAUAGUACGGGUAUCACUAAGACUUUGUCAGUAUUGUUAUUAAUUUUAUAAUUUAUAUCGUACGUUAGAAAAAAAAAGAGAGAGUGAAAGGUUAAGACUAGCAUUCCUAAAGGGAGAAUAGAAAAAGAGGAUCCAACUCUCUACACCAAAAGCAAAAGUGUACAAUUUGUAGAAUAAGGAACAAGCGAAAAGAAUAGACUAGGAAAUUAGGAUAAAAUGUAGGCAUUAACUGGGAUAGAAACUAAAAUAACACUAACGAGUAAAUAAUAAUUAAAAAAAAAAACAAUGGUCAAAUAAAACAGUAUUAUUGUAAACCGUCAAACAACCAGCGUCGCGUAGAAUAUAAGUAAAUAGAAUAAGGAGUUAGAUAUAAGCAAAGAACAUUGUGAAAAGGAAAUGUGUUUAUAAC